rnacentral:lncRNA from 1 species
GGCUCCAAAGGGCUGGACUGAUGCAUGGCAUUCCCCCAAGUGAUGAAGCAGUGCAUGGCUUUUGAUUGAUGAAUAGAACCCAAUAUUCUGCAUAAGAGAAGAAUUAGGAUGGUUGGAAAAUUUAUAAGGAGUUGGAAUUAUCUGUGAUUUCUAAACCACCGACAACAACAGGAGGUUGGGAGGAUUAAAGGAUCAUUCUGCACUACCAAAUCGCCGGGACAUUUCCUAAGAUUUUCAGAGAGACAUCUGGUGAGUUCUAAUUUGAAGAAAAAAAAAUCUUUGUUUCUAAUAUAAAAAGCUAGUAUUUAAGAAGAGGAAACAGAACUGAUAAUAAUGCUUUGCAAUCAAUGGGACUUUGCGAUGUAAUUUUACGAGGCCCUUUCUCAUUCAUUUCUAGUUUCCUUUUAAUAGGACCAUGAACUUGACUGGUGAAUAAACUGAGGCUACGAGAAUGUUGUGGUCAGUCUAUCCAAGAUGAAGAGCUAUAAGUCGUGGACUAAGGAGGACUGGGUGACGGUGUUAAGUAGGAGGUUACAUUUUGAAGAAUGAAGCUCCAGCUACAGAAAUUUUCAAGAACACAGAAAGUCCAGGCUGGCCAGCGACACCUAUAGGCCAUCACUGUCAGCAGCUCUCAAGGACUGUGCCUUUGUUGCUGUUAUUCAAGGAGGCCGCACGCUGCAAUUGUACCUGCCAGGUCACCUAAGUUAAAGCUAAAUAGAGGAUAGAAGCAAUUCGAGGCAAUUCAAGUGAAAUAAAG